rnacentral:lncRNA from 1 species
UCUCACUAGAAUGCGACCCUGUUGGCUCCUUGAUCUUGGACUUCCAGCCUCCAGAAUUAUCUUUAUAGAAAUGAAACAAAUGACAGAGAAAAACUCACUUAUCUGUUUCUGAAAGUCAGUAUGCUGUACAAAAGAAAACAUCCUUCAGGAACUGCAAUGCUGAUGUAAAACAUAGCAAAAUAAAACAAAAACAGAAUUUUGAGUUUUCAGAGCUUCUACCUCAAAGUGGAUCAAACUCUAUCAAAUUGAUCAUGUUAUCAGCAGAGUGUGACCAUAUGAUGUACUGAAGAUGGCUGUGAACAUGAAUUGAAGAUCUUUGAGUCUUAAGAGAACACAGAACACCAGGGAAACUAUAAUGAAGACUAUCAGGAGACUAUAAGGAGGAUAAUACUAAUAAACAGAAGUAUACUCCUUAACCAGGGCCCCAGUGAACCAAACCAGUUCAUACCAAACAAAUAAAAGAGUGUACCUGAAUGGACAUCAACCUGUUUUAGUCAAGUGGCUUGUUUGUUAAUU